rnacentral:rRNA from 1 species
UGGCGGACGGGUGAGUAACGCGUGGAUAACCUGCCUGUAAGACUGGGAUAACACCGGGAAACCGGUGCUAAUACCGGGCGUGCUGUAGAGGGGGCAUCCUCUUUACAGGAAAGGACGAAAGUUCCGCUUACAGAUGGGUCCGCGUCCCAUUAGCUAGCUGGUGGGGUAAAAGCCUACCAGGGCGACGAUGGGUAGCCGGCCUGAGAGGGUGGUCGGCCACACUGGGACUGAGACACGGCCCAGACUCCUACGGGAGGCAGCAGUGGGGAAUAUUGCGCAAUGGGCGGAAGCCUGACGCAGCGACGCCGCGUGGGUGACGAAGGCCUUCGGGUCGUAAAACCCUGUUGCAGGGGACGAAGGAAGUGACGGUACCCUGUGAGGAAGCCCCGGCUAACUACGUGCCAGCAGCCGCGGUAAAACGUAGGGGGCGAGCGUUGUCCGGAAUUACUGGGCGUA